GACGUGUUAAUAUACAGGACAUCCUGUUCGUUAAAAGGGUGGGCCACUUUCUAAUGAUCAGUGCGACAGUCCAAUCCACUUAUCGGACAGGAUGCAGCGUGAAAAUCCGUGUGGCCCACGCAAUGAGUAGAUGGCCCUGAUUUUCAUACCAGGCGAUCGUUAUGGUGUGUCCUACCAAUUGCACGGAUCAGAUGACGUGUUGGCGGAAUAAAAUUGGAUGGAUGUGAAAGUUUACAUACAGACGCUGUAUUAGAUCCCCCCUCUCUUUCUGGAUUUAGGGUUAUAAGAGUCUGGAUUUGAAUUCUCUACGUAGGAUAGAAGUAGUUGGAAGAUGGAAACAAUAGAAUCCGACAUCGCCAGGGUCCAAGAAGAGAGGAGAAAGAAGGAGCAGGAACUUGCCUCUCUGACCGCAGUCACCUUUGAUGCUGAUCUUUACGGGGGCGGCAACCGCUUCGAGGAUUACGAGCAGUCGAUCCCUGUCAAUGAAGAGGAGGAAGAUCAAGAUGCUGGGGAGCGAGAGGUUGCGAGGAAGCUAGCUUCGUAUACUGCACCUAAAUCGGUAUUGAAGGAGUUGCCGAGAGGAGUGGGUGUGGAUGAUGGGGAUGAUUUUGGUUUCAAGAAACCACAGAAAAUCAUUGAUAGGGAGGAUGAUUAUAGGAAGCGGAGGCUGAAUCGGAUAAUCUCGCCUGACAGGAAUGAUGCUUUCGCGAUGGGAGACAAGACGCCGGACCCGUCCGUGAGGACCUACGGUGAUGUCAUGAAGGAGGAGGCCUUGAAGAGACAGAAAGAAGAGAUGCUGAGAGAGAUUUCAAAGCGGAAGAAAGAGGAAGAGGAGAACAAGGCCUCUGAGCCUGCUCCAUCAGCUCAGAAAAGGAGGAACAGGUGGGACCAAUCUCAGGAACAAGAUAAUAGUAGCAGCAGCAAGAAGGUGAAAACCGCGUCGUCGGCAUCGGAUUGGGACAUGCCAGAUUCAACUCCUGGGAUUGGCCGGUGGGAUGCAACUCCAACCCCGGGGAGGCUGGCUGACGCGACACCAUCUGUUUCCCGUAGGAACCGUUGGGAUGAGACGCCCACGCCUGGUCGCCUGGCCGAUGCUGAUGCAACUCCGACCGCUGGUGGAGCUACUCCCGGAGCUACGCCAGCUGGCAUGACAUGGGAUGCAACACCCAAGCUGGCGGGACUCGCUACUCCGACACCCAAGCGACAAAGAUCGAGAUGGGAUGAAACGCCAGCGACCAUGGGAAGUGCAACACCAAUGCCUGGAGCGACCCCUGCUGCGGCAUUCACCCCUGGCCUGACCCCAGUUGGAGGAAUUGACCUCGCAACCCCAACCCCUGGAGCUAUCAAUCUUCGCGGUGCCAUUACUCCUGAGCAGUAUAAUCUGCUGAGGUGGGAGAGAGAUAUUGAGGAGAGGAACCGGCCAUUGACUGAUGAAGAGCUUGAUGCUAUGUUCCCACAAGAAGGAUAUAAGAUUCUAGAUCCUCCAGCUUCUUAUGUUCCAAUCAGAACUCCUGCGAGGAAGCUUCUUGCUACACCGACUCCCUUGGGAACUCCUCUAUAUGCGAUCCCUGAAGAGAAUCGUGGGCAGCAGUUUGAUGUUCCGAAGGAAGCACCUGGUGGUUUGCCGUUUAUGAAGCCAGAGGAUUACCAAUACUUUGGUGCGUUGCUGAACGAAGAAGAUGAGGAAGAGCUGUCACCAGAUGAACAGAAGGAGCGGAAGAUCAUGAAGCUGUUGCUCAAGGUUAAGAACGGGACUCCUCCGCAGAGGAAAACAGCAUUGCGCCAGCUUACGGAUAAAGCACGAGAAUUUGGGGCUGGCCCACUGUUCAAUCGGAUUCUGCCAUUGCUGAUGCAACCGACUUUGGAAGAUCAAGAACGCCAUCUUCUAGUUAAGGUCAUUGACAGGGUUUUGUACAAGCUGGAUGAGCUGGUCCGGCCAUUUGUACACAAGAUUUUGGUGGUGAUUGAGCCACUCUUGAUCGAUGAGGACUACUAUGCUCGUGUAGAAGGAAGAGAGAUCAUUUCCAAUCUCAGCAAAGCGGCUGGCUUGGCCACGAUGAUUGCUGCAAUGAGACCAGAUAUCGACAAUAUUGAUGAAUAUGUCAGGAACACAACGGCAAGGGCUUUCAGUGUUGUUGCCUCCGCAUUGGGUAUUCCUGCGCUGUUACCGUUUUUGAAAGCUGUGUGCCAGAGUAAGAAAUCUUGGCAAGCUCGGCACACCGGCAUUAAGAUUGUACAGCAGAUUGCGAUUCUAAUGGGUUGUGCCGUGCUUCCGCAUCUGAGGUCCCUUGUUGAAAUCAUUGAACACGGUCUCAACGAUGAAAACCAGAAAGUGAGAACUAUUACAGCAUUGUCUCUCGCUGCACUCGCUGAGGCCGCUGCUCCAUAUGGUAUAGAGAGUUUUGAUUCGGUCCUAAAGCCUCUGUGGAAAGGCAUUCGAUCACACCGAGGAAAGGUUUUGGCAGCUUUCUUGAAAUCAAUUGGUUUCAUUAUUCCUCUCAUGGAUGCUAUGUAUGCAAGUUACUACACAAAGGAAGUGAUGUUUAUACUGAUCCGAGAGUUCCAAUCGCCGGAUGAAGAAAUGAAGAAGAUUGUACUUAAAGUGGUCAAGCAGUGUGUGAGUACGGAAGGGGUUGAAGCUGAUUAUAUUCGGAGCGAUAUUCUUCCCGAGUUCUUCCGGAAUUUCUGGGUUAGAAGGAUGGCGCUGGACCGCAGAAACUAUAGGCAGCUUGUGGAGACGACUGUAGAAAUAGCUAACAAGGUCGGUGUUGCAGAUAUAGUAGGAAGGAUCGUCGAGGAUCUCAAAGACGAGAGUGAACCAUACAGGCGGAUGGUAAUGGAAACAAUCGAGAAGGUGGUUACAAACUUGGGUGCAUCAGAUAUUGAUGCCCGGUUGGAAGAGCUCCUGAUCGAUGGUAUUCUGUAUGCUUUCCAAGAACAGACCAGCGACGAUGCGAAUGUGAUGCUCAAUGGUUUCGGUGCUGUGGUGAAUUCCCUUGGACAGAGGGUGAAACCGUACCUUCCCCAGAUAUGUGGUACCAUAAAGUGGCGUUUGAACAAUAAGAGUGCGAAGGUCAGGCAGCAAGCAGCGGACCUCAUAUCGAGGAUCGCAGUUGUCAUGAAGCAGUGCCAAGAAGAGCAGCUGAUGGGCCACUUGGGUGUGGUUUUGUAUGAGUACUUAGGAGAAGAGUACCCUGAAGUCCUGGGAUCUAUAUUGGGAGCACUGAAGGCUAUCGUCAAUGUCAUUGGUAUGACAAAAAUGACUCCUCCAAUAAAGGAUCUGCUCCCACGUCUCACUCCCAUUUUGAAGAAUAGGCAUGAGAAAGUGCAGGAGAAUUGUAUCGACCUUGUCGGGAGGAUUGCUGAUCGUGGGGCAGAGUUUGUCCCUGCAAGGGAGUGGAUGAGGAUAUGUUUUGAGCUCCUUGAGAUGUUGAAGGCCCACAAGAAGGGGAUCCGGCGUGCUACUGUGAACACAUUUGGGUACAUUGCGAAAGCGAUUGGACCUCAAGACGUCUUGGCAACGCUGUUGAACAACCUGAAGGUGCAAGAGCGUCAGAAUCGGGUCUGCACAACUGUGGCCAUUGCCAUUGUUGCCGAAACCUGCUCACCCUUCACGGUCUUACCAGCUCUGAUGAAUGAGUACCGGGUACCAGAGCUGAACGUGCAAAACGGGGUCCUGAAAUCACUCUCUUUCCUCUUCGAGUACAUAGGUGAGAUGGGGAAGGACUACAUCUAUGCCGUUACGCCCUUGCUCGAAGAUGCGCUUAUGGACAGGGAUCUGGUGCAUAGGCAAACGGCCGCUUCCGCUGUUAAGCACAUGGCCUUGGGUGUUGCUGGGUUGGGCUGCGAGGAUGCUUUGGUGCAUCUGCUGAACUAUGUGUGGCCCAAUAUUUUUGAGACGUCUCCUCAUGUCAUAAAUGCUGUCAUGGAAGCGAUUGAAGGGAUGAGGGUGGCGUUGGGCGCUGCAGCUGUUCUGAACUACUGUCUUCAGGGGCUGUUUCAUCCGGCACGGAAAGUGAGGGAGGUGUAUUGGAAGAUCUACAACUCGCUGUACAUUGGAUCACAAGAUGCACUUGUGGCUGCCUAUCCUGUGUUGGAUGACGAGGAGAACAAUGUGUUCAGCAGGCCAGAGCUGACGAUGUUUGUCUGAGGUGGGUGACAAUGGGAAGAUAAGGAAGCUGUUGGAAUCCAACUGUUUGUUGAUGUCGAUGAAUGUUGGGCUUGAGCAGUCUUCAUGAAAUAGGUCAUCUUCAUUUAACAAGAUACAGUUGAAUGGUGAUGAGGUUAGAUCGACCGCUCUUUCUGGUUUGCAACGGGCCGCCAUGACUUUGGUUUCCAGCCGUUAUAAGCUGUAUGUUGUUCAAGUGGGACCUUUUUCGUUGGGAUUGGGCCGAGCUAAUUACAAGCUUUCUUUAAAUUGUCUGUUAAGACUGAGCCUGACAAAGAACAGGCCUGUUUAUGACUUUAAUAGGUAUGCUUGGUCCUGAGAUUGAA